GAUGAACGCUGGCGGCGUGCUUAACACAUGCAAGUCGAACGAAGCACCUUGAUUUGAUUCUUCGGAUGAAGAUCUUGGUGACUGAGUGGCGGACGGGUGAGUAACGCGUGGGUAACCUGCCUCAUACAGGGGGAUAACAGUUAGAAAUGACUGCUAAUACCGCAUAAGACCACAGCACCGCAUGGUGCAGGGGUAAAAACUCCGGUGGUAUGAGAUGGACCCGCGUCUGAUUAGGUAGUUGGUGGGGUAACGGCCUACCAAGCCGACGAUCAGUAGCCGACCUGAGAGGGUGACCGGCCACAUUGGGACUGAGACACGGCCCAAACUCCUACGGGAGGCAGCAGUGGGGAAUAUUGCACAAUGGGGGAAACCCAGAUGCAGCGACGCCGCGUGAGCGAUGAAGUAUGUCGGUAUGUAAAGCUCUAUCAGCAGGGAAGAAAAUGACGGUACCUGACUAAGAAGCACCGGCUAAAUACG
rnacentral:rRNA from 1 species